UAAUACGGGGGGUGCAAGCGUUAUUCGGAAUUACUGGGCGUAAAGGGCGCGCAGGCGGUCUCUUAAGUCAGAUGUGAAAGCCCGGGGCUCAACCCCGGAAGUGCAUUUGAAACUAAGGGACUUGAGUAUGGGAGAGGGAAGUGGAAUUCCUGGUGUAGCGGUGAAAUGCGUAGAUAUCAGGAGGAACACCGGUGGCGAAGGCGACUUCCUGGACCAAUACUGACGCUGAGGCGCGAAGGCGUGGGGAGCAAACAGGAUUAGAUACCCUGGUAGUCCACGCAGUAAACGGUGAACACUAGGUGUAGCGGGUAUUGACCCCUGCUGUGCCGCAGUUAACGCAUUAAGUGUUCCGCCUGGGAAGUACGGCCGCAAGGCUA
rnacentral:rRNA from 1 species